UUUGAUCCUGGCUCAGGACGAACGCUGGCGGCACGCUUAACACAUGCAAGUCGAACGAGAUUCAAGGAGCUUGCUCCUGAAGAUCUAGUGGCGAACGGGUGAGUAACACGUGGGCAACCUGCCCUAGGGAGCGGGACAACCCGAGGAAACUCGGGCUAAUACCGCAUGAUUCGCCGGGCCUCAAGGCUCGGCGGGAAAUGGUAGCUUCGGCCUCCGCCCUAGGAUGGGCCCGCGGUGCAUUAGCUUGUUGGUGGGGUAACGGCUCACCAAGGCGACGAUGCAUAGCUGGUCUGAGAGGACGGUCAGUCACACUGGGACUGAGACACGGCCCAGACUCCUACGGGAGGCAGCAGUGGGGAAUCUUGCGCAAUGGGCGGAAGCCUGACGCAGCAACGCCGCGUGUGGGAAGACGGCCUUCGGGUUGUAAACCACUUUCAGGGGGGACGAAGCUUCCGAGGUUAAUAGCCUACGGGGUGACGGUACCCCCAGAAGAAGCCCCGGCUAACUACGUGCCAGCAGCCGCGGUAAUGCGUAGGGGGCGAGCGUUGUCCGGAAUCAUUGGGCGUAAAGCGCGUGUAGGGCGGCUCGAUAAGUCUGGUGUGAAAUCUUGGGGCUCAACCCCAAGCCUGCACUGGAUACUGUCGAGCUUGAGUCCGGGAGGGGAGAGCGGAAUUCCUAGUGUAGCGGUGAAAUGCGCAGAUAUUAGGAAGAACACCGGUGGCGAAGGCGGCUCUCUGGAACGGUACUGACGCUGAGACGCGAAAGCGUGGGGAGCGAACAGGAUUAGAUACCCUGGUAGUCCACGCCGUAAACGAUGGGCACUAGAUGUGGGCGGUGUCGACUCCGUCCGUGUCGAAGCUAACGCAUUAAGUGCCCCGCCUGGGGAGUGCGGCCGCAAGGCUAAAACUCAAAGGAAUUGACGG
rnacentral:rRNA from 1 species